rnacentral:rRNA from 1 species
UUGGCCUUGACAUACUAAGAACUUUCCAGAGAUGGAUUGGUGCCUUCGGGAACUUAGAUACAGGUGCUGCAUGGCUGUCGUCAGCUCGUGUCGUGAGAUGUUGGGUUAAGUCCGCAACGAGCGCAACCCUUUUCCUAUUUGCCAGCGGGUAAUGCCGGGAACUUUAAGGAUACUGCCAGUGACAAACUGGAGGAAGGCGGGGACGACGUCAAGUCAUCAUGGCCCUUACGGCCAGGGCUACACACGUGCUACAAUGGUCGGUACAAAGGGUUGCUACCUCGCGAGAGGAUGCUAAUCUCAAAAAGCCGAUCGUAGUCCGGAUCGCAGUCUGCAACUCGACUGCGUGAAGUCGGAAUCGCUAGUAAUCGCGGAUCAGAAUGCCGCGGUGAAUACGUUCCCGGGCCUUGUACACACCGCCCGUCACACCAUGGGAGUUUGUUGCACCAGAAGUAGGUAGUCUAACCGCAAGGAGGACGCUUACCACGGUGUGGCCGAUGACUGGGGUGAAGUCGUAACAAGGUAGGCGUAGAUGA